rnacentral:lncRNA from 1 species
CGCAAGUACCUCGCGAGCAUCACGUAAGUGUGGUGCUAGAUUAAGUUUAAUAUGAUGAAUUAUUCAUCGUAUUUGAAUACAGUUAAUAAUUUACCAUCUCUUUUUUAAAUCAUAAACUUUAAAUUAAGGUUUUAAGUGCCCGUCGGCACGGAGUGUAUCUAUAGUGUCGUACCGUACCAACAAGAUAUCGGUACGAUACAGACUCCAUGCCGAUGGCACAGCUCAAAACGCUCUAUUUUUUAAAUUAGUACGUAAUUUUCUCGAUAAAGUUAUAAAGAUGUGAUAAAACAAAUAUAAUAAAUAGUUAGAAUAUUUUGUUGCUAAAGAAAAUAAAUAUUUCAUGCUAUUAUGUGUUGGUACACAAGAAUUUUUUUGACUGGCACGCAUUGGCACGGUUCGGCACUCACCGUGCCGGCAAGUUUCCAAUACGACUCCGUGCUACAGCACUUAAAUUCUUGCUCCAAAUAAUACGUAAUAAUAUAUAGAAAAAUAAUGAAAUACGGUGAAUCAUUCACCGCACAUUCGCGUAGCGUUUACAUAAUAAAAUACGGUCAAUCUUAUAAAUAUAAAUUUUAUAAAAUUAUUUUUUUUUUUGGAAAAACUUCAAAUACCGCCACUUUAGUUUUGCAUUUUUUCACGUUAAUACCCUAUGGUUUGAAGUGUAUCAAUUUAGUACCAUAUAGUUUCGCACUUUCUCACUUUAAUAUCCUGUGGUUUAAAGUGCAUCAAUUUAGUACCCUAUAGUUUCAUUUUUCUCUUUUCGUCGGCUCGUCUGUUAAUAUUUCGUUAAAUUAUAUACAAAAAAUUUCAAAUACCCUACCUAGCUUUAUCGAAUAUUUACUUUAGUACCCUUUAGUUUUAACUUUGUCACUGAUUUUUUUCCUUCAUUACUAUUUCGUUAAAUUAUAUGCAAAAAACUUCAUAUAUCCUACAUAGCUUUAUCGAAUAUUCACUUUAGCACCCUUUAACUUUAACUUUGUUACCGAUUUAACGAAAAAAAUUAGUGAAAUGAAUAAUAAAAAGAGGAAAAUGAAACCACAGGGCAUUAACUAGAUACACCUUAAACCAUAGAGUACUAAAGUGAGAAAGUGUGAAACCACAGGGGCUAACUUGAUACAUUUUAAAUCAUAUGAUACUAAAAUGAGAAAGUGUGAAACCACAAGAAGGGUAUUUGAAAUUUAUUUAUAUAUUUAUUUAUUUUUUAAGAGAAGGCUAAAUGCAAAAAAAAAAAAAAAAAAAAAAAAAAAAAA